AGAGUUUGAUCAUGGCUCAGGAUGAACGCUAGCUACAGGCUUAACACAUGCAAGUCGAGGGGAAACGACAUCGAAAGCUUGCUUUUGAUGGGCGUCGACCGGCGCACGGGUGAGUAACGCGUAUCCAACCUGCCCACCACUUGGGGAUAACCUUGCGAAAGUAAGACUAAUACCCAAUGACGUCUCUAGAAGACAUCUGAAGGAGAUUAAAGAUUUAUCGGUGAUGGAUGGGGAUGCGUCUGAUUAGCUUGUUGGCGGGGUAACGGCCACCAAGGCGACGAUCAGUAGGGGUUCUGGAGAGGAAGGUCCCCCACGAUUGGAACUGGAGACCACGGUCCAAACUCCGUACGGAGGCA
rnacentral:rRNA from 1 species